rnacentral:rRNA from 1 species
UACAGAGGGGGGCAAGCGUUAUUCGGAAUUAUUGGGCGUAAAGGGCGCGUAGGCGGCUUGGCAAGUGGAUGGUGAAAUCCCCUCGGCUUAACCGAGGAACUGCCCGUCCCAAAACUGCUUCGCUUGAGACCGGGAGAGGUGAGUGGGAAAUUCCCCAGUGUAGCGGUGAAAUGCGUAGAUAUUGGGAGGAACACCAGUGGCGAAGGGCGGCCCCCUGGGUCCGGCCCUGACGCUGAGGCGCGAAAGCGUGGG